rnacentral:rRNA from 1 species
UGGGGAAUUUUGGACAAUGGGCGAAAGCCUGAUCCAGCAAUGCCGCGUGUGUGAAGAAGGCCUUCGGGUUGUAAAGCACUUUUGUCCGGAAAGAAAUCCUUGGCUCUAAUACAGUCGGGGGAUGACGGUACCGGAAGAAUAAGCACCGGCUAACUACGUGCCAGCAGCCGCGGUAAUACGUAGGGUGCAAGCGUUAAUCGGAAUUACUGGGCGUAAAGCGUGCGCAGGCGGUUUGCUAAGACCGAUGUGAAAUCCCCGGGCUCAACCUGGGAACUGCAUUGGUGACUGGCAGGCUAGAGUAUGGCAGAGGGGGGUAGAAUUCCACGUGUAGCAGUGAAAUGCGUAGAGAUGUGGAGGAAUACCGAUGGCGAAGGCAGCCCCCUGGGCAAGUACUGACGCUCAUGCACGAAAGCGUGGGGAGCAAACAGGAUUAGAUACCCUGGUAGUCCACGCCCUAAACGAUGUCAACUAGUUGUUGGGGAUUCAUUUCCUUAGUAACGUAGCUAACGCGUGAAGUUGACCGCCU